GAUGAACGCUGGCGGCGUGCCUAAUACAUGCAAGUCGAGCGAACGGACGAGAAGCUUGCUUUUCUGAUGUUAGCGGCGGACGGGUGAGUAACACGUGGAUAACCUACCUAUAAGACUGGGAUAACUUCGGGAAACCGGAGCUAAUACCGGAUAAUAUUUUGAACCGCAUGGUUCAAAAGUGAAAGACGGUCUUGCUGUCACUUAUAGAUGGAUCCGCGCUGCAUUAGCUAGUUGGUAAGGUAACGGCUUUCCAAGGCAACGAUGCAUAGCCGACCUGAGAGGGUGAUCGGCCACACUGGAACUGAGACACGGUCCAGACUCCUACGGGAGGCAGCAGUAGGGAAUCUUCCGCAAUGGGCGAAAGCCUGACGGAGCAACGCCGCGUGAGUGAUGAAGGUCUUCGGAUCGUAAAACUCUGUUAUUAGGGAAGAACAUAUGUGUAAGUAACUGUGCACAUCUUGACGGUACCUAAUCAGAAAGCCACGGCUAACUACGUG
rnacentral:rRNA from 1 species